rnacentral:rRNA from 1 species
AUUGAACGCUGGCGGCAGGCCUAACACAUGCAAGUAGAGCGGAGCGACGGACGGGUGGGUGAUUCCUAGGUAUCUGCCUGGUCGUGGGGGGUAACGUCCGGAAACGGGCGCUAAUACCGCAUAGUAUCAGCUGCGCCUAGGUAGGAUUAGCUGUUUGGUGGGGUAAAGGCCUACAAAGACGACGAUCCGUAACUGGUCUGAGAGGAUGAUCAGUAACACUGGAAGUGAGACACGGUCCAGACUCCUACGGGAGGCAGCAGUGGGGAAUAUUGGACAAUGGGCGAAAGCCUGAUCCAGCCAGGCCGCGUGUGUGAAGAAGGUCUUCGGAUUGUAAAGCACUUUAAGUUGGGAGGCGUUACCAACAGAAUAAGCACCGGCUAACUUCGUGCCAGCCGCCGCGGUAAUUC